CCUACGGGGGGCAGCAGUGAGGAAUAUUGGUCAAUGGCCGGAAGGCUGAACCAGCCAAGUCGCGUGAGGGACGACUGCCCUAUGGGUUGUAAACCUCUUUUAUAAGGGAAGAAUAAAUGCUACGUGUAGCAUGAUGCCUGUACCUUAUGAAUAAGCAUCGGCUAACUCCGUGCCAGCAGCCGCGGUAAUACGGAGGAUGCGAGCGUUAUCCGGAUUUAUUGGGUUUAAAGGGUGCGUAGGUGGGUUGUUAAGUCAGUGGUUAAACUUUGCGGCUUUAACCUUGAUUUGCAAUUAAAACUGUAAGUCUCGAGUACAGUCGAGGUAGGCGGAAUAAGUGAAGUAGCGGUGAAAUGCUUAGAUAUAACUUAGAACUCCGAUAGCGAAGGCAGCUUACCAGACUGCAACUGACACUGAGGCACGAGAGUGUGGGUAGCAAACAGGAUUAGAUACCCGUGUAGUC
rnacentral:rRNA from 1 species